UACGUAGGGGGCAAGCGUUGUCCGGAAUCAUUGGGCGUAAAGCGCGUGUAGGCGGUCCGGUCAGUCGGUUGUGAAAGUCAAGGGCUCAACCCUUGAAUGCCGGCCGAUACUGCCGGGCUAGAGUCCGGAAGAGGUGAGUGGAAUUCCUGGUGUAGCGGUGAAAUGCGCAGAUAUCAGGAGGAGCACCGAUGGCGAAGGCAGCUCACUGGGACGGUACUGACGCUGAGACGCGAAAGCGUGGGGAGCAAACAGG
rnacentral:rRNA from 1 species